UCCCCCACCACUCCUCUUGAGCAUUACUGAGGGUAAACCCAUCUGUAAAUCGGCAGAGUAAUCUCCUGCCAGAUUGAGUUAUAAAGGGAAAUAAAGGAGGACCCGGGUAAGGGAAGGGUUGCUUGCACAUUACUACGGGGAUGCUGGGAAUGCCAGCCAAGGGUCUGGGUUCAAGUCCUGGCACUGUAUCUGAGUCCCAGCGAGGUCAAGGAAUUAAGCACUUGCUGGUGUGAGUGCCUCACGUAUCAGCCAAAGGUCUGCCCAUGUGCAGGUAAAGCUGUGCCUUAAGCUCUGCCAUCUCCUCCUGUUGAAGAAAUGUUAUCAGCAUGCUGCUUCAUGGGACUACAUACCUAAAGGAAGACAAGCUUAAACAAGGUUUUCGCCCACCCCUGUUACUUGAGCAUUCUUUUCAUGGAGAAAAUUACCAGCAUCCAGAAGGCUUUUUAUAAUCCCACAGUAUAUUUGUCAAAGGACCAGUAUAUCUUGAGAUUAAGAUGCUGAUGAAACAUUUUGCAGUUUAACAUACCUGCUUCUUCAGAGUGUGGGCCCAAAGCACAAGCGGCAUUUACAAAAUAAAACCCUGAUGGAGGAUGUAGCAAAUGGUCACCCUUCCAGUUGACUCCAGAAGUCUUUACAACCCAUACAAAAUCAGAAGCUUCGAGCACCAAAGCUGGCGGUCAUUUCAGGACAAAUUAAUUGAAUAUUGAUGAAUAUUUUCUACUUGCAGUCAAAUUGUAAUUCUGAAUUUGGGUGAAAACUUGACUGGAAGUUAAAUACUCCUGACUCAAUUUAAUCAGAAACACCACAGCAUCCUCAAAAUUAAAAUUUGUGUUGGAUGUGGUCAUGUCAGAAGAAUAAAACAGCAAGGACUCUUAUGUGGCAAAAAGUCCAGGAGGAUCACAGUACACAAGGUGGAACAUACUAGCCUUCAGAAGUAAAACAAAUAUCAGAGCAGAUAAAUGCCAUGCCCUAGUUAACUGUAUUUUACAAUAUACAUCUAUAAGAGCAUGAAAUGCUGUAACAAAGUUGGACAACAGGAUUCUUAACAUUUUCUGUAAGGAGACUGUAGUCUCAAAGCACAUUGUGAGCAAUAUUAUCACCACCUGUACACAAAAGAGGAAAAAAUAUCAGUGUAGAAGCUGAGACUGCUUAUCUCGAUUAAGUCCUUUGAAAUGCAGAAAGGCUGUAAACCAAGAAUUAUUUACAUCCAUCAGAAGUAAUCUCCUUGCUAACUGGGGCAUGACAACAACUGACCCCAAAGCAAGACCACUGAAUGAUGACAAACUGCAGGUGAGAAUAUAUUUGGGAACAUGGUUAAUUAUUGCUUGAAGCAAAGAACUGCAUUUUACAGAAGUACCAGUGGGCCACUAAGUCUUAUACUCUGGACCAGUAAAAACCCAGAACAAAACAGGGCACAGAGAGACCAUCCCCAGACCAUCUUUUUAUGGAUGAUUUUCAUCAAUAAUGAAGAACUAAUGGUAUAAAGACAUUUUCGUAACAUUAUAAGCAUAACACAUACAUGCAAGAAGCAAUAUAACUGAUGUGGUGAUCAGUUUUCACUGGGAGUCAUAAAUGAAAGGUGCCAGAAGAUGCAGCAGAGAUUCCAACAUAGAUAAAGGUUUCAGGAAGACCAGCACUAGGCCAGAAGACCCAGCAAUGCAGGAAGUCCUUGAGUAGCUCAGUCAAGCUGUGCAAUUCUUGUUAAGAAUGUGUGUGUGUGUGUGGAACAAAUUAAGAACUGCUACAUUAUUAAGUCCUCUGCAGCACAGAUGAGUUCAUCUGCUUCAAGUUAAGUGAAAUAUCGUAAGGAAAUUUAAAUUCCUCAGUUGUCUCAGAAGGCAGAUGCAUGCGCCGUGCUAUACAAGGUACAUAUUCCAAAUAACAGAUGCCAACAAUACACUCAGAAAUCCAAGAUAUCCAAGAGUCCUGCCCUUAGGUUCUGCUAUUUGAUAGCUUGCUGAACAUAUGAGCAAGGUGCAACACAGACCUGAGCAACAAUCAUGGAUGCUAAUAAGGUAGCACAUUCUCUUGGGACCAAAGCCCACAGAGUGCAGCUGUACCUUUUGUAAUGCUUUAUGCAUAGAAGAAAGGCAGGAGUUUUCAAUUUCUGUAGCAGGAGAGCACUUACCAACAAAUUCAUUCCAAGCUUUGACAAAUUCAAGUUUUCAUCAUAUCCCUUUCAGAAACCUAAGGAUUUUCUGCAGUUGUGAAUUUCAGCAAAAUACAACACAUUAUAAUGAAUAACAGUACUGUCCAUUUCUCUGUACCAGAAACGACUGAGGGUGACUUCAGCA